UACUUAACACAUGCAAGUCGAGCGAGGAUCGCAGCGUGGGCAACCAUGUUGUGGUCUUAGCGGCGCACGGGUGAGUAACACGUGGGUAACCUGCCCUCGAGACCAGGACAUCUCCUCGAAAGGGGGGCUAAUACUGGAUACGUUCCUCGGGUUGCGAAAUCUGGGGAGGAAAGGUGGCGCAAGCUGCCGCUCGUGGAGGGGCUCGCGGCCUAUCAGCUUGUUGGCGGGGUAAUAGCCCACCAAGGCGAUGACGGGUAGCUGGUCUGAGAGGACGACCAGCCACACGGGGACUGAGACACGGCCCCGACUCCUACGGGAGGCAGCAGUGGGGAAUUUUCCGCAAUGGGCGAAAGCCUGACGGAGUGACGCCGCGUGGGGGAUGAAGGCCUUCGGGUCGUAAACCCC
rnacentral:rRNA from 1 species